GGGUUGUGAGGUUAAGCGACUAAGCGUACACGGUGGAUGCCCUGGCAGUCAGAGGCGAUGAAGGACGUGCUAAUCUGCGAAAGCGUCGGUAAGGUGAUAUGAACCGUUAUAACCGGCGAUGUCCGAAUGGGGAAACCCAGUGCAAUUCGUUGCACUAUCGUUAACUGAAUACAUAGGUUAACGAGGCGAACCGGGGGAACUGAAACAUCUAAGUACCCCGAGGAAAAGAAAUCAACCGAGAUUCCCCCAGUAGCGGCGAGCGAACGGGGAGCAGCCCAGAGUCUGAAUCAGCUUGUGUUAGUGGAACGGUCUGGAAAGUCCGACGGUACAGGGUGAUAGUCCCGUACACCAAAAUGCACAGGCUGUGAACUCGAAGAGUAGGGCGGGACACGUGGUAUCCUGUCUGAAUAUGGGGGGACCAUCCUCCAAGGCUAAAUACUCCUGACUGACCGAUAGUGAACCAGUACCGUGAGGGAAAGGCGAAAAGAACCCCGGCGAGGGGAGUGAAAAAGAACCUGAAACCGUGUACGUACAAGCAGUGGGAGCACCUUCGGGUGUGACUGCGUACCUUUUGUAUAAUGGGUCAGCGACUUAUAUUCUGUAGCAAGGUUAACCGUAUAGGGGAGCCGCAGGGAAACCGAGUCUUAACUGGGCGUUAAGUUGCAGGGUAUAGACCCGAAACCCGGUGAUCUAGCCAUGGGCAGGUUGAAGGUUGGGUAACACUAACUGGAGGACCGAACCGACUAAUGUUGAAAAAUUAGCGGAUGACUUGUGGCUGGGGGUGAAAGGCCAAUCAAACCGGGAGAUAGCUGGUUCUCCCCGAAAGCUAUUUAGGUAGCGCCUCGUGAAUUCAUCUUCGGGGGUAGAGCACUGUUUCGGCUAGGGGGUCAUCCCGACUUACCAACCCGAUGCAAACUACGAAUACCGAAGAAUGUUAUCACGGGAGACACACGGCGGGUGCUAACGUCCGUCGUGAAGAGGGAAACAACCCAGACCGCCAGCUAAGGUCCCAAAGUCAUGGUUAAGUGGGAAACGAUGUGGGAAGGCACAGACAGCCAGGAUGUUGGCUUAGAAGCAGCCAUCAUUUAAAGAAAGCGUAAUAGCUCACUGGUCGAGUCGGCCUGCGCGGAAGAUGUAACGGGGCUAAACCAUGCACCGAAGCUGCGGCAGCGACACUAUGUGUUGUUGGGUAGGGGAGCGUUCUGUAAGCCUGCGAAGGUGACCUGUGAGGGUUGCUGGAGGUAUCAGAAGUGCGAAUGCUGACAUAAGUAACGAUAAAGCGGGUGAAAAGCCCGCUCGCCGGAAGACCAAGGGUUCCUGUCCAACGUUAAUCGGGGCAGGGUGAGUCGACCCCUAAGGCGAGGCCGAAAGGCGUAGUCGAUGGGAAACAGGUUAAUAUUCCUGUACUUGGUGUUACUGCGAAGGGGGGACGGAGAAGGCUAUGUUAGCCGGGCGACGGUUGUCCCGGUUUAAGCAUGUAGGCUGGUUAUCCAGGCAAAUCCGGAUAAUCAAGGCUGAGGUGUGAUGACGAGGCACUACGGUGCUGAAGUAACAAAUGCCCUGCUUCCAGGAAAAGCCUCUAAGCAUCAGGUAACAUCAAAUCGUACCCCAAACCGACACAGGUGGUCAGGUAGAGAAUACCAAGGCGCUUGAGAGAACUCGGGUGAAGGAACUAGGCAAAAUGGUGCCGUAACUUCGGGAGAAGGCACGCUGGUGUGUAGGUGAAGUCCCUGCGGAUGGAGCUGAGACCAGUCGAAGAUACCAGCUGGCUGCAACUGUUUAUUAAAAACACAGCACUGUGCAAACACGAAAGUGGACGUAUACGGUGUGACGCCUGCCCGGUGCCGGAAGGUUAAUUGAUGGGGUUAUCCGUAAGGAGAAGCUCUUGAUCGAAGCCCCGGUAAACGGCGGCCGUAACUAUAACGGUCCUAAGGUAGCGAAAUUCCUUGUCGGGUAAGUUCCGACCUGCACGAAUGGCGUAAUGAUGGCCAGGCUGUCUCCACCCGAGACUCAGUGAAAUUGAACUCGCUGUGAAGAUGCAGUGUACCCGCGGCAAGACGGAAAGACCCCGUGAACCUUUACUAUAGCUUGACACUGAACAUUGAGCCUUGAUGUGUAGGAUAGGUGGGAGGCUUUGAAGCGUGGACGCCAGUCUGCGUGGAGCCAACCUUGAAAUACCACCCUUUAAUGUUUGAUGUUCUAACGUUGGCCCCUUACCGGGGUUGCGGACAGUGUCUGGUGGGUAGUUUGACUGGGGCGGUCUCCUCCCAAAAACGGAGGAGCACGAAGGUUAGCUAAUCCUGGUCGGACAUCAGGAGGUUAGUGCAAUGGCAUAAGCUAGC
rnacentral:rRNA from 1 species